GGACCCGGCGAGGACGACGGUGGUGCUGCUGCUGAGAGUGGAGGGGCGAGACGGAUCUCCUCUGAGUGUUGUUGUUGCUGCCAAAGAGGAAAAAAACACCACUGCGCAUGCUCGGCACUACUCUCACCUGAUUGGUCGGGGGGAAUGUGCACCUGCACACGAUGCAGACUGGAGAAACAUAAGAUGAAACGACAUAUCAUUAUAAGACAGGGUGGUGUAAAGAUGACCUCAAAGCCCCAGGCUCCAGAGAGUCACCUUAUACUCAGGUGUGACAUUACAGCGUGAGAAAAGCAUGCUGGGAAAACUCACAGGGCCACAGAGAAUGCAGGGCUCCCAACAGGGAGAGAAGAAAGAGAGUGACCAGACAAGAGCACACUCAGAGUCAUGUCUUUGUAUUACCUUUGUACAGUAAACUGAAGCAAAUUUCUACCGAUUCAAGGGGAUUAUAUCUUCUCAGGAACAAAAGCUACAUCUGUUAUGGACAUGUGUCAAGUAACACCCUCAGUGUUGUCCGAAAUAUAACGGAAAAAAUUAUCCUGCAACCUGCAAACUUUUCUGAUUCCUCAUCCACUAAGCCCCUCUCAUUCAUUUCUAUAUCGCUCAUCUCACUCUUUCCUCUUUGAAAACUCAGUUUCUCAUGAACCAAUCACCAAAUAGGAAGACGAUAUCACAUGUAACAUCUAACAUAACCUUUCACAAGGUUUAAAAUGUUCAAUUUGUGUUGAAGUUUCAAUAUUCUCUCAUGCCUCACUGAUAAAAAUUUGCAGUGGACAAAAUAUUACAAACACCCCUUGGAUCAUUAUAACCUUUAUGACGAUAAUAGGUCACAUUAGACUUCAACCCUUUUUCAAUGAGUCUUUAUAAUAAUUAAAUAACAAGGAUUUGAGUAUAAUAAAAUAGUUAUGACAAAGUAUGACAGUACAAACAACAUACAUGUGACUCUCCUCAGCCGAUGUUACAUAUUGAACUCGAGAGCUAAUAGAUGAUGAUGUGAGAUUGGAAAAAGACGUAAAAAAAUGAAUAGUUUAUCGAUAGUUGUGCCUACAAUGUUUAUGCAAUUUUUACCAACUUUUUACU